AUGCCACCAGUAAAACCACCAAGACUUUCAUUGUAUGUAAGAGAACGAAUAGUAAGUUUGCAGAGAGGGGGAAAAUCUCUACGGAAAAUUAGACAAACUUUGAUUGACAGUGAAAACAUCCAGGUGUCGGUUUAUGCUAUUUGUGCAUUUUUAAAACGAUAUCGACAGAGUGGUUCGUUAAAAGACAUUUCAAAGAUCGCAAGUAAGCCACCGAUUCUGAAAAGAAAUCAUUUAAUGUUUAUUGACCAGACAAUUCGUCAAGAUAGGGAAAUUUCUGCCCAGGAAGUAGCUGUUAGUUUACGACGACGUUUCCAACUUGGAGUAAGUUCAACCACCAUUAAACGGACAAGACGGCGUCUAGGAUGGAAGCAUUCUCCAACUCAAUACUGCCAGAUGAUACGAGACGACAACAAGCCAAAACGACUGAACUUUGCAUUGAGAUUCAUCGCUAGAAAUGAAAACUUUGACAAUGCAAUCUUCACAGAUGAAACGACGGUAAAAAUUCAGACUUCCACAAAAUACAGUUUUCGCAAAGACGAUGAACGAAUUCCAGCAAAGGGCAAACCAAAGCAUCUAUAUCAGGUAUGCAUUAUUUUAACAGUCACUAUUUCAUGCGAAAAAAUUAUCGGAGUUUCAUCCGAUCAUUAUCAAAACCAUAACGGGCAUGUAGCUUUCGUUACUUUCCCUCUUCCCUGUAUUACCGAACAUUAA
rnacentral:sRNA from 1 species